rnacentral:rRNA from 1 species
UGGGGAAUAUUGCACAAUGGGCGAAAGCCUGAUGCAGCAACGCCGCGUGAAGGAAGAAGGUCUUCGGAUCGUAAACUUCUGUCCUUGGGGAAGAAGAACUGACGGUACCCAAGGAGGAAGCCCCGGCUAGCUACGUGCCAGCAGCCGCGGUAAUACGUAGGGGCGAAGCGUUAUCCGGAAUUAUUGGGCGUAAAGAGUACGUAGGUGGCAACUUAAGCGCAGGGUUUAAGGCAAUGGCUCAACCAUUGUUCGCCCUGCGAACUGGGAUGCUUGAGUGCAGGAGAGGAAAGCGGAAUUCCUAGUGUAGCGGUGAAAUGCGUAGAUAUUAGGAGGAACACCAGUGGCGAAGGCGGCUUACUGGACGGUAACUGACGUUGAGGCUCGAAAGCGUGGGGAGCAAACAGGAUUAGAUACC